CUACUUCAGCAGCACAUAUACUAAAAUUGGAAUGAUACAGAGAAGAUUAGCAUGGUCCCUGCACAAGGAUAACAUGCAAAUUUUGUGAAGUGUUCCAUAUUUUC
rnacentral:snRNA from 1 species